rnacentral:rRNA from 1 species
UGCCUACGGGGCGCAGCAGUGGGGAAUAUUGGACAAUGGGGGGAACCCUGAUCCAGCGACGCCGCGUGAGUGAAGAAGUAUUUCGGUAUGUAAAGCUCUAUCAGCAGGGAAGAAAGAAAUGACGGUACCUGACUAAGAAGCCCCGGCUAACUACGUGCCAGCAGCCGCGGUAAUACGUAGGGGGCAAGCGUUAUCCGGAUUUAUUGGGUUUAAAGGGUGCGUAGGCGGAAUGCCAAGUCAGCGGUAAAAUCGCGGGGCUCAACCUCGCUCCGCCGUUGAAACUGGCGUUCUUGAGUGGGCGAGAG